rnacentral:rRNA from 1 species
CCUACGGGAGGCAGCAGUGAGGAAUAUUGGUCAAUGGGCUAGAGCCUGAACCAGCCAAGUCGCGUGAAGGAUGAAGGAUCUAUGGUUUGUAAACUUCUUUUAUAUGGGAAUAAAGUGAGGAACGUGUUCCUUUUUGUAUGUACCAUAUGAAUAAGCAUCGGCUAACUCCGGGCCAGCAGCCGCGGUAAUACGGAGGAUGCGAGCGUUAUCCGGAUUUAUUGGGUUUAAAGGGUGCGGAGGUGGUAAAUCAAGUCAGCGGUUAAAGUUUGUGGCCCAACCAUAAAAUUGCCGUUGAAACUGGUUGACUUGAGUGUACUUGAGGUAUGCGGAAUGCGUGGUGUAGCGGUGAAAUGCAUAGAUAUCACGCAGAACUCCGAUUGCGAAGGCAGCUUACCAAACUAUAACUGACACUGAAGCACGAAAGCGUGGGUAUCAAACAGGAUUAGAUACCCCAGUAGUC